ACUUUCAAAGGAUCACAGCAUAAUCCAGAAGAACCAYCKUUG
rnacentral:tRNA from 1 species